UAUAGGGUAAAAACAAAAUAGAAAUAUUAUUAAUUUUUUUAAUUACUUAAACGUGUUUUUCAUUUUUAAUAAAAUAAUUAUUCUUUAGAUCUGACCCUGUAUUUCUGCUAUACUAUCAGCCACUAGGUGGUGCAGUGCACUAGAUAUGCACACUACACUGGGCUCGUGUGGAGAUCUGAGGAAAGAACGUGGAAUAUUCCAGUAUGUCUGUUAUUUAUUGGGUGUUCAUGCAAAGAUAAUAAACACCAGACAGAACUAAAAGGAGUCUUAGAAAGGCUUCUGUAAAGCUCCAGUGGAUGGAUUUCUAAAGCACCAGAAGUGUUUGAGAACCUUUUCUUCUGAGGACAGACUUCCUGCUGCUGAAGUACAGAAGUGAGUUCAUGCGUGCGUGUGUCAGUUUGCGUCACACAGGAGGUCAGUGCUGUCAGAGCU